CGGAUUAACCCUCGUGUUUGUUGCCAGCAUAACGAAAUCAUGAAGAUGUCUGACCUUUGCUACGCCCGUUGUUUCGAAAAUCUUAGCUCUUAGAUUUCUAAGCGUGUCUAAAAUAUGGUUAAAAUAGAAUCUCUGCGACGCCUUUUUCAUGCACAAUCCUUCCUCAUUCGACACAUCGAGUUUGCGAUCAUUCUAGCUUGCCGCCUCAACUGCCUUUGAUAAGAUCUACACGACAUAAACGCCUUCCAAUUAUCUAAUGCGCUCCAAUCUUCGCGAAAGUAAUAUUUGAUGACAUUAAUAAUGCAAGUAAGAUGUACUGUAAUUGUGUUCGGCAUUAGUUUUCUAACUUUUGAUAGAUAAUCAACAUAUUCACAAAUUAGCGUGUUCGUGUUAAAAAUAUUGAGAGUCACAACUGUUGCAUUCCUAUGAUGCAUGCAUAAAUAUAAAAAAACAAUAUAUUCUUUCGACUGAUUUAUCUAGAGUUUGUUUGGCAAACGGGGCGACCAUUCCGUUUUGGGUUUAACUAGUUUACCCACAGGAUUGUGAAUGCUGCCUUGGUAUAGCAUUGUUCCCAAAUCUUUAAUAUUUUAAAGAAUAAGAGUAUGAAAUAUUUGUAGUGAAUUGGAAUCAUCCAUAAUUUAUACAUCAACACUUUCAAAAACGUACCUUUGAAUUAGACCAGAGGUUAAAGGGCGAUGACAAUGACAUGCAGGUAACAUUUAACAUGUGCAGUGUUCGUCUUACUAAAUUGGCGUGUUUAAUUUAAUUAAUAAUGUUUUUCAAAGAAGGCAAAAAUAUAUACAAGACAACUUCGCAUGUAGAAUCUGUUCACUUACGCACUGCCUUGUGAUGCAGUACAAGUAUAAAUACUUAUACAACGGACAAAGCAUUUUUAAAUCCUAAAACAUAAUUAAAUCAUACGGCACAUCAGUCAAGAUUUUAAUACAUGACUAUUAACCACAGUUUUUAGUUUUUAUUUCAGCCGCGUUUCAAUACUGCUUGGCGC
rnacentral:lncRNA from 1 species